rnacentral:misc_RNA from 1 species
CAAUACAGAUAAGGAAUUAACGAAGCGUCGUUUUAUGGAUGCUCCAUGUUAUAAUUAUGUGUUUGUGUUUGUAAUUUUGUGCAUCAAAACAUUUUAUUUUGAUGUAUACCCAUAUAAUCUAAAAGUAUGAAAAACUUAUCUUUUUCCAAAUUUUAUAAAUGGAUUCUGCGGCAGAGAGUAACAACAUGCUUGACCAUAUUCUGCAAGCAGCCAACAGACAUCCAAAUUCACGUGUUUCGAAACUUAUUCACAGUGUGGAGGAGGAACGAUCUCAAAAGAAUAUUGUUCUUUUACUUAUUGAGCUGGCAGAGCACGCGGAAUAUGCUACUGAUUUUAAUAUAUCUUUGAAAUAUUAUUUGGAUUUGUUUGAGCAAUUAGGUAUAGGACGAGAGAUCGUUUUAAACGAAGCUGGCUUAUUGCUAAUAAAUUCAUCGAAGGUGUACGCGAGGCGUGUAGAUUAUGUACAAGAACUAGUGGAACGUCAAAUACUGACUUUAACCAACGCAGACAAGGAAGUUGAAACUAAUAGAAAUGAAAAUUUAAAUAAAAGUCUCGAGGAGAAACCCAAACGCACGCGAAAACGUUUGGUAGCGCCAGUAGACGAUCCUUAUGAAGUGGAGUUGACUCCAAGAAAAUUUCGCAAAUUGACCGAAGAGAAACGUUUUUUAACAGGAAAAUUUCUUGAGAAAAAUAAAAUAAGUACAUCAAAGUUUUACAGGAUAGAAUCAGAGCAAUUUAUACAUCCGUCUGCAUGGAUACAUGCAAGUGUAGCUGAUUUAGAAAACGAGGACGAAAUUGAUUCAAAACGAAAUUAUAAGCUUUUUACAUAUCAUGUAGAGCACCGCUACAAUACAUUGGUACCAGACAUUAAUUUCAGAUUACAUUUCAAAGUAAAGGACUACAUUGACGAAGAGGAAGAACGUUUGCAAGCCGCGUCAGAAUAUAGUGACAACUCUUCAAACGUUCUCUCCGAUUGGCCACCGCUUUCUGAGGAGUAUGUUGAAAAGUAUUUAGAUUUGGAGAAUAGAGUUUUGGCCAUUGGAGAAGUGUUAAAGAAUCGUAAGAGGCUUAGACUAGAUUAUGAGAGUGAAGAAGCCGUUUUAACUGAGGUUGUACCAAAUCAAAAAAUGUUAAGAGAAUCCAAUGAAGAGCCCAAUCAGAACUGUCAUAAAACUUCUGAAGAAAUAAAUGGUACACGCGACUCUCAAAAUGAAACAGCCGAUCCCAUUAAUACAUCACUUGUGGAUUUUUCUUUAGAUAUAAGUGAACUUUCAACAAAUGACCGCAGUGAAAUAACAAUAAGUAAUGAGAAAGACACAAGUAACGAAAAUUUUACAGACCAGAGUACAUAUACUAAUCAAUCACAAAACUUGAAUUCGACUGAAAAGUCUCAUUUAGAGUCGACAAAUAAUUCAGAUAGUUUGGUUAACGCUUCAGUAAUGAGUUCUGAAAAUAAUUUAUCAGGUAAUUCUAUAUCAAAUAACAAUGUUGAGGAAAAUACAUUAAACGGCAGCGCAGCAGAAAAGGAUGAGAAUGAUACUGGUAUAGGUGAAAGCUUAAUUGAUCUAAGUAAUACGAACAAUUCCAGCAAUGAUUUGUUAGUUAAACAAAGUGUUCCAUCUGCUUCGAAUAACGAAGAAUCGUUUGAUCUACGAAGUAUUAUAUUAGCUGAUGAAAGAAAAUCGGAAAAUGAUGAAAACGAAAUCAACUUGAAUAAAAUUCGCGUUUACCUACCACAUCUAGACGAUGAAGGUGUUUACUUUUCGGACUUAGAUGACCAGGAACACCGAAUGCUCUCACCUAGGGUUUUGACCACCGAUGUUUUUCCCAGCAUUCCAAACAAGGAAAACAUAACCAUUGUUGUUGAUGACGAAAUAAGGAGCAUUUUAAACUUAGUAGAUGAUGAACCGCCUCCCACAUAUAUCUUACCUAUUCAAAUACAGCCUCCAACACCACCUCUAGAGCUUAAUAUUUUCAAAUUUCAUGAAAAAAUCGUUAGACGACGACUCUUAUUCAAGCUAGGCACGGAAAUGGACCUUUUUCUUCAGUCGCGUUCUAUGAAGAAAACUAAUUGCUCAGAUGUGAAUGGACGACAAUAUAGGCCAAUGAAAUUGUUUAAUGAUUCCCCCGACGUAUGUACGGACAAACAUACAACCAUCGAUAAUAAUAUACUCAGUGAUAGUGAAGACUACGAAGACUUUCUCGGAUUUACUGAAGAGGAGCAAGCAACUGAUAUCUCACACCAUUUCAAAAGGUUUCAAGAUUCUUACGACGCAUAUACAGACAAACACUGUGCAAUAAUAGAUAGUAAUAUACACAGUGACAGUGAAGAUGUUGAAGAUUUUCUCGGAUUUACUGAAGAGGAGCAAGCAAGCAUAAUCCCACACCGUUUGAGUAGAGAUUCCGGCGUAGACGCAGAUGCACUCCUAACGUCUAAUAACAUUGAAGCGAUAAAUGAAGAAUCUGUUAAGGAAGCCGAUUUUUUACAUCCAAUUACGGAAGUUGAAAACAUCGAGGAAAACAAAGAAGUUGAGUCUAUGUGCGAUCAAACUGUGAAUGCUAUAAAUAUUAAUGAGAUUAGCAAGCUUAAUGAGUCUUCAAGUGCAGCAGAUAUCUCCGACAAUGAUAUGUCUGUAAGCCAUGAGAAUGAUAUUAACGCGAAAUUUGAUACGCUUAUGGACUCGUCAGAAUUUACUGAAAGUCAUUUGAAAUAUAUCGAAAAUGAAAUUGACUUUGACAAGAGUAAAACAAAGAUUCAAAAAUGGCAUGAGUACUUGCAACCUAUUUUAGCAAAAGCGAGAGAUCGUCAUCAUUUCGACGUUUUCAAAUUGGGUACAGAAAUUAUAAACGACAUACAAAAACCAAUUACUUUUGGGACGUCCAUUACUUUUCAAGAUGUAAUGACAAAAAAGGAAGAAAGUUACGUGUCAAGAUACUUUCUGUCAACUUUGCUUCUGGCAAAUCAAAAUAACAUCAAAAUUGCAGUUAAAAAUAAAUGUACCGAUAAACCGUCAGCAUGGAGCGACAUUAACUUGGAUUUGUUGGAUACAAAACGGCAUACUGUUGCCAUUGAAGACAAUAUUGGUAUAAUAAAUUCUAAACUGCCAAAGGAGAGUAUCCUAGCGAAGCCCAACAGUGAUCAAUCGCUCGUUACAUCUGACUGUAGAGUAAAUGCGAAGUUAACUAGGAAUGGCAUUCAAACGGUGCACGUUGAUUUAAAUGUUGUACGCCCCUUAAAGCAAAUUGAAAAAUUACCUAGCAUCAACGAUGAUUAUGAUUCUGGUAUUUUCUCAACCGAAGAGUGUUCGUUAUGACAACAAAAUGACUGUGUAGAUCCGUUACUAGCUACUGUGUAGUAUUUUAAUUAAGGAAUAAGUGGUGUAUAUUUUCAAAUUUAAUUUGGUUUUAAAGAAGUUUUUUAUUGUAAAAUAUGAACAUCUCGAAUUGCAAGUUGGUGCAGAAAUCAUUGGCGGAUUGACAUACAAUACAAUAUAUAAUCUACUCUCCGAAAACUUUAAUUAGGCCACCUUACAUCAAAAUUUAUAGUCAACGGCGGUACCCGUGCCUAAGCAGAAUAAUGCUGUACCAACCACAAAACAUCACUUUCCGCACAGUGAGCAUAUAAAAUAUGUCGGACAUACAUAUAUUUGAGUGAAGUGCAAUAUCUUUUAAAAUUAAUUUCUUGUAUACUGUAUAUAAUUGGUCAGUGUAUUAUAAAUAUGAGUUAAACCCAUAGUUCUCCUUAUGUAUUAAUUGUAAAUUGUUUAAUCAUUGAGAAUAAUUGAACUUUUUUAUAUUUGAGUAAACUUGGCACUAUACUAAACAUUACAAAUCUUUUUUAAAACAUUGUACCUGAAUCCUCGAUGAUAAUAGAGGAGGGUAGUUUAAUAAUAAGAUUAGUAGUUUAAAACGAGGAUUAUGAGGAAAAUUACGUAGCAAUACUUUAACUUUAUGUUAAAAAAAUUGCACUGAAAUUUAGUACAAUUGAGGUUCACUGAAACUGAGAAGUUAUAAAAUAAAUAUAUGUAAAUUACACUCUGUAUGUACAUACAAUACAUAUAAAAAUAUGAUCACAUGUACAUGUGCAAGAAUGUAUAUAAUUAUAUCCUCUAAGAUAAUGAAUAAGAUAUUUUUAUGUUUAUAUAAGUGUGAUUGAUUAAUACUUGCACCAUAAAAAUAAAUAUCAUUUUACAAAAGUAAAUGUUUCAUUUAA